rnacentral:rRNA from 1 species
GACAGAGGUGGCAAGCGUUGUUCGGAUUUACUGGGCGUAAAGAGCGCGUAGGCGGCCAACUAAGUCAGACGUGAAAUCCCUCGGCUUAACCGGGGAACUGCGUCUGAUACUGGAUGGCUUGAGUUCGGGAGAGGGAUGCGGAAUUCCAGGUGUAGCGGUGAAAUGCGUAGAUAUCUGGAGGAACACCAAUGGCGAAGGCAGCUCGCUGGGACGGUACUGACGCUGAGACGCGAAAGCGUGGGGAGCAAACAGG